CCUACGGGAGGCAGCAGUGGGGAAUAUUGCACAAUGGGGGAAACCCUGAUGCAGCGACGCCGCGUGAGUGAAGAAGUAAUUCGUUAUGUAAAGCUCUAUCAGCAGGGAAGAAAAUGACGGUACCUGAGUAAGAAGCCCCUGACAACUACGUGCCAGCAGCCGCGGUAAUACGUAGGGGGCAAGCGUUAGCCGGAUUUACGGGGGGGAAAGGGAGCGGAGACGGCAGGGCAAGUCUGGAGUGAAAGGCGGGGGCUCAACCCACGGACUGCUCUGGAAACGGUACGGAUGGAGUGCAGGAGAGGUACGUGGAAUUCCUAGUGUAGCGGUGAAAUGCGUAGAUAUUAGGAGGAACACCAGUGGCGAAGGCGGCUUACUGGACUGUAACUGACGUUGAGGCUCGAAAGCGUGGGGAGCAAACAGGAUUAGAUACCCCAGUAGUC
rnacentral:rRNA from 1 species